rnacentral:misc_RNA from 1 species
AACUUUUGGCAAUGGAUCACUUGGUUCUGGCAUCGAGGAAGAACGCAGCGAAAUGCGAUAAGUAAUGCGAAUUGCAGAAUUCCGUGAGUCAUCGAAUCUUUGAACGCACAUUGCGCCCGCCAGCAUUCUGGCGUGCAUGCCUGUUCGAGCGGCAUUUCAACCCUCAGGCCCUGCCUGGCGUUGGAGGACUGCGCACGCAGCCUCCCAAAGAGAGCGGCGGCGGCGCCCCGAAACCGAACGCAGUAGUUACUUCUCGUUCUGGGUCCGGGUCGUUGUCCUGCCGGAAAACCCCCCUCUAAUCAAUGGUUGACCUCGAAUCAGGUAGGAAUACCCGCUGAACUUAAGCAUAUCAAUAAGCGGAGGCU